rnacentral:lncRNA from 1 species
GGUAGGCAUAGCGGGUUCACACAGUCUUUGGCCUAACAACACUGACACUUCCCUUUUCCAAAUCACUCAGGAAAUCACAAGUAGCAUUACCACCUGGGACCUGCCUGGGCUCUGGCACUAUUCGCCUUCCUCUGCCUCCAUGGGAGCAGUGAUAGGCUCCCAGUGAUAGGCACAAACCCAUUAAGCAAAUGGAUUUUUUUCUUGUGUAGUGUUUAAAAAUAGUCACUUUUUAUUAUUAAAAAUGGUGGCUGGUGUGUCAUGACUCAACAGUCCGAGGGCAAAUCUGCACACUUUAUAUCAAUACUUCACGUAAGCAACUGAAGUAAUCGAUAGUUCAAGUAUAUGUCUGUAUUUAUUACAUAUUCGAUCGACUAACUCGUGCUCUUUCAUCAAUACAUUAACUGAUAAUAAAACUCCGUUUACUAUAGAAAAUAUUAGACACUGUGUAACGAAUAAUUGAACAUUACUAUGUGAGAAUAUUGAGCUACAAAGGAGCAGCGGGAGGGAGCUGCGCUGUGCCCUCCCAGCUGAGCCCACCUCGCGUGAUUAAAGGGAAAACAAAAUGCCAUAGAUAAGAGAUUAAAAACGCCUUGUGCUAAUAAAGAUCUGAACUCAUCAAAGCAGGAAGGAUUCAAACAGGGCAGGUGCUGCUUUUGAGCCGGCUGAGAGGUGUCCUUCCAACAGCAGCAGCGGCUUGUGGAGUGUUGUCCAAAUCAGCAGUGUGUGCCCUGGGGACAAUAAAGAAGCAGAUGUGAUUUUUUUGUGCUGUGCAGUUGCUUCGUGGAUAUAAGGCUUUUCCCAUGGACUGAUGCACUGGGAAGAGCCACAUCCCAGUGUCACCAUCUGGGACCGAGCUCCUUC